ensembl:lncRNA
GACCUCUUGGAGCGAGCCACAGCCUGUUUCCCUCCCCACCCCUGAUGUCACUUGGCCUUUUGAUCCCUCCCAGAGAGAAUUUGCAGUGAAGGUCACUGUCUCAGCACCUUGACCAUGUUAAACUGUUAAACUGAAGCCAGACAAUGGGAGGUGAGAAAAUGAAGGUUUUACAACAAAGAGGCAUCUAGAAGCAUACACUUCACCAGGCUAUCUUCAGUAAUGAAAAUGGAAUUGAAGCUUAUUUUUCCCGUUUGCAUGAGUAAGAAACCCUGAAAACAGAGGAAGUCAAAUACAUCAAGCAAUCCAUACGCAUCGAGAUGGAACCCCUGCGCAGAGGCAGAAUACAUACAUGGAAGGAGUUUCCUGGAUUAAGGUGGCCUAUUGAAUUGGGGUUAUCUACAAGCAGUGAGGCAGUGUGCAUGCACUGAGGUGGUCUACUGUAUUGAGGCAGUCUAUAUGCACAAAUGCAAUAUGCAUGCAUUAAGGAGAUCUAAUGUGUUGAAGCAACCCUCAUGCACUGUGGUGGUCUGCAUUGAAAUCAUCCCCGGGCCUUAAGUUGGUCUACGGUCAUUGAGUUCUCUAGCUUACCAUCACGCUAUCUUAGAC